rnacentral:rRNA from 1 species
GAUGAACGCUGGCGGCGUGCCUAACACAUGCAAGUCGAGCGAACCUUUCGGGGUGAGCGGCGGACGGGUGAGUAACGCGUGGGUAACCUGCCCUGUACACACGGAUAACAUACCGAAAGGUAUGCUAAUACGGGAUAACAUAUGAGAGUCGCAUGGCUUUCAUAUCAAAGCUCCGGCGGUACAGGAUGGACCCGCGUCUGAUUAGCUAGUUGGUAAGGUAACGGCUUACCAAGGCAACGAUCAGUAGCCGACCUGAGAGGGUGAUCGGCCACAUUGGAACUGAGACACGGUCCAAACGCCUACGGGAGGCAGCAGUGGGGAAUAUUGCACAAUGGGCGAAAGCCUGAUGCAGCAACGCCGCGUGGGCGAUGAAGGCCUUCGGGUCGUAAAGCUCUGUCCUCAAGGAAGAUAAUGACGGUACUUGAGGAGGAAGCCCCGGCUAACUACGUGCCAGCCGCCGCAGUAA